rnacentral:rRNA from 1 species
UUCCGUAGGUGAACCUGCGGAAGGAUCAUUAAACAUAUUACGGGGGGCCGGACCCAAGGUGCGUGGAUUUCCAUGUGCUUUGACCCGCCCUGUCUGAAUAUUCUACCCAUGUCUUUUGCGUACUAUUCGUUUCCUCGGUGGGCUUGCCUGCCGAUAGGACACUAUAAAACCUUUUGUAAUUGCAGUCAGCGUCAGAAAAUAAUUUAAUAAUUAAAACUUUCAACAACGGAUCUCUUGGUUCUGGCAUCGAUGAAGAACGCAGCGAAAUGCGAUAAGUAGUGUGAAUUGCAGAAUUCAGUGAAUCAUCGAAUCUUUGAACGCACAUUGCGCCCCUUGGUAUUCCAUGGGGCAUGCCUGUUCGAGCGUCAUUUGUACCCUCAAGCUUUGCUUGGUGUUGGGCGUUUGUCCCGCGUUGCGCGUGGACUCGCCUUAAAGCGAUUGGCAGCCGGCAUAUUGGCCUUGGAGCGCAGCACAUUUUGCGCUUCUAGUCAUGAAUGUUGGCAUCCAUUAAGCCUAUACAUUUGCUCUUGACCUCGGAUCAGGUAGGGAUACCCGCUGAAC